GCACAAGUACAACCCCUCUAAACCAAUUUCUUCACAACCUCAAACAUUCUCUGAAUUUUGAAGAUCAUCACGUAAACACACUUUUCCUUGCUCUUUCUCACCCAAACACACCAUUUUCUCCUUCUGAAAUUCUUGUGAGCAAGAGGUGUGUGUGUGUGUGUGUAAAAACACUUGAAAUUUGUUUCUCACAAAAUCCACCACCUCAUAUCAAUAAGUCCAUAUUUCAGAGACACCUUCUUCCAUUUUUAUUUUCCUUUACUUGACUGAUAAUUAACUUAUCAUAAUCAUACAUAUAACUCAAUCCUACUGAACAGUGAGCACAAUCUCUGAGGCUGCAUAUAUUAGACUCUGAAGCCUAAUUUGGGUCGGUUCUCUCUCUCAAAGCACGAUGUUGGAAAACGGUGUAAGCAGAACUUAUCAAGAGGCAUUUGCAGCCUCCAAACACCAGAUUCAACUACCAGAUUCCGAUUUCUUUGAUGAUGAUGGUCGUCCCAAAAGAACUGGAACUGUUUGGACUUCAAGUGCGCACAUAAUAACUGCUGUUAUUGGUUCUGGGGUACUAUCUUUGGCUUGGGCUAUUGCUCAACUUGGUUGGGUUGCUGGUCCUGCUAUAAUGAUUCUCUUCUCUGCGGUCACUUAUUAUACCUCAAUUCUUCUAGCUGCUUGUUACCGCACUGGUGACCAAGUUAAUGGCAAGAGAAACUACACCUACACUCAAGCUGUCAGAUCCUACCUAGGUGGAAUGAAUGUCAAGUUUUGUGCAUUGGUUCAGUAUGCCAACCUUUUUGGAGUGGCAAUCGGGUACACCAUAGCUGCUUCCAUAAGCAUGAUGGCCGUUAAAAGGUCUAAUUGUUAUCAUAAUAGCGGAGGAAAAGAUCCAUGCAAAAUGAACAGCAAUGUUUACAUGAUUUCAUUUGGAAUUGCGGAAAUUAUUUUAUCCCAAAUCCCAGAUUUCAACGAGUUGUGGUGGCUCUCUAUUGUGGCUGCUGUCAUGUCCUUCACAUACUCAAUAAUUGGACUUGGUCUUGGAAUUGCUAAAGUUAUAGGAAACGGAGUGAUCAAAGGAAGCUUAACUGGUGUAAGUAUUGGUGUUGUCUCAGAAAGCCAAAAAAUCUGGAGAACCUUCCAAGCUCUUGGUAACAUAGCCUUUGCCUACUCCUACUCAAUGAUCCUUAUAGAAAUUCAGGACACAAUCAAAUCACCUCCUGAAGAGUCAAAGACAAUGUCGAAGGCUACUUUAGUGAGUGUCUUAGUGACAAGCAUUUUCUAUCUGCUAUGUGGUGGUUUUGGCUAUGCAGCUUUUGGAGAUGAAAGCCCUGGAAACCUUCUCACUGGUUUUGGCUUCUAUAAUCCAUAUUGGCUCCUUGACAUAGCCAAUGUUGCCAUUGUUGUGCACCUUGUUGGUGCAUACCAAGUUUACUGCCAACCCCUGUUCCAAUUUAUUGAAAACAACGCAUCACAAAAAUUCCCAGACAAUGAUUUUAUGACGAAGGAAUUUGAAGUACCAAUCCCUGGUUCCAAACCCUUCAAGCUGAACCUCUUCAGGUGUGUUUGGAGGACAAUUUUUGUUGUCUGCUGCACUGUGAUGGCAAUGCUGCUUCCAUUCUUCAAUGACAUUGUGGGGCUGAUUGGAGCCAUUGGAUUUUGGCCACUCACUGUGUAUUUCCCGGUGGAGAUGUAUAUUGCUCAAGCUAAAAUACCAAAGUGGAGUACAAAAUGGAUAUGCUUGCAGAUGCUUAGUGCUGCAUGUUGCAUCAUAACUAUUUUGGCUGCAGUAGGUUCCAUUGCUGGGGUUCUUGAUGAUCUUAAAGUUUACAAGCCAUUCACCACCACUUACUAGUUCUCUAGCAUUACUCUGUUAACAUCAUUCUCAAAGAUUUCAUUAGCUAUUUACGAGAAAGAAAAGGUUAGUUUGCAUGUGUCUCCAUCGUCGGUCACAAUCCCAUGUAAGAGUGACUACUAUCUAUGAAUAGUGUUGAUGAUUGCAUGAUGAAGAGACCUUUUUAAGGAUUAAGGAAUAGGCCUCAACUCAAGCUAGAAUAAAAUUGUUGUACUUUUGUGUUGUGUCUUCAUUGGACCUUGUAAUUGUCUUUUUCUUUUUAUUAUUUGUUUGUAUUAGAUCUUUAUCGGUACUUGUAUAGGUUUUUUUUUCUUGUAAACAGAGACUUUGAUUAAUGGGCCUUAGUUUUUGAGCUCAUAAUUACAAAGUCCAUAAUAUAUAAGUUUUUUUUUUACUCUCUUAUAUUAAAAAUUGCUCAUUUUGGAA